rnacentral:rRNA from 1 species
GACGAACGCUGGCGGCGUGCCUAAUACAUGCAAGUAGAACGCUGAAGAGAGGAGCUUGCUCUUCUUGGAUGAGUUGCGAACGGGUGAGUAACGCGUAGGUAACCUGCCUUGUAGCGGGGGAUAACUAUUGGAAACGAUAGCUAAUACCGCAUAACAAUGGAUGACACAUGUCAUUUAUUUGAAAGGGGCAAUUGCUCCACUACAAGAUGGACCUGCGUUGUAUUAGCUAGUAGGUGAGGUAAUGGCUCACCUAGGCGACGAUACAUAGCCGACCUGAGAGGGUGAUCGGCCACACUGGGACUGAGACACGGCCCAGACUCCUACGGGAGGCAGCAGUAGGGAAUCUUCGGCAAUGGGGGCAACCCUGACCGAGCAACGCCGCGUGAGUGAAGAAGGUUUUCGGAUCGUAAAGCUCUGUUGUAAGUCAAGAACGGGUGUGAGAGUGGAAAGUUCACACUGUGACGGUAGCUUAUCAGAAAGGGACGGCUAACUACGUG